UACGAAGGGGGCUAGCGUUGUUCGGAAUUACUGGGCGUAAAGCGCGCGCAGGCGGUCUUCCAAGUCAGUGGUGAAAGCCCGGAGCUCAACUCCGGAACUGCCAUUGAAACUGUUAGACUUGAGGACGAGAGAGGUGAGUGGAAUUCCCAGUGUAGAGGUGAAAUUCGUAGAUAUCGGGAGGAACACCAGUGGCGAAGGCGGCGACCUGGGCCAAUAUUGACGCUGAG
rnacentral:rRNA from 1 species